UACGGAGGAUGCGAGCGUUAUCCGGAUUUAUUGGGUUUAAAGGGUGCGUAGGCGGGCAUUUAAGCCGGCGGUCAAAUGUCGGGGCUCAACCCCGGCCUGCCGUCGGAACUGGGUGCCUUGAGUGGGCGAGAAGUAUGCGGAAUGCGUGGUGUAGCGGUGAAAUGCUUAGAGAUCAUACAGAACACCGAUUGCGAAGGCAGCUUACCAAGCUACUUCUGACGUUGAGGCACGAAAGCGUGGGGAGCAAACAGG
rnacentral:rRNA from 1 species